CAGCAAGACUAGACAAUGUUGAGAAGGGCGACAGGGAGGGGUGGGGGGUGACGGUGGGUGGGGGGUGGGAGGGUGGGAGGAGGCGUCCCGGGCGGUGACGGGCCACCACACCGGUCCCCUCUUCCACCUCCCAUCCUGCCAGGUGCCCUCCCCCACACUGUGGUUUUCCACACAGCGCCUCCCAGCCGGCCUAGCAGCUGCCUUAGAUCUGGUGCAGACCAGGGGAAUCUGUUUAAUUAUAACAAAGCAUGGGGAAGGCCCAGGUGGGUGUUGAGGCGAUGUGAUUUCUGCCUAGUGCUCUGAAUGUCAAAGUGAAGAAAUUCAAUGAAGUGUGGGUAAACAGCGAGAGUAACUAUGACUCUCUUAAGGUAGCCACAUGCCUCCUCAUCUAAUUAGUGAUGCACAUGAAUGGAUGAACGAGAUUA
rnacentral:ncRNA from 1 species